GCCCGGCUGGCGCAAUGGAUAGCGCAUCCGCCUCCUAAGUGGAAGGUUGCAGGUUCGAGUCCUGCGUUGGGCG
rnacentral:tRNA from 2 species